CUUUCUUGGCGGCGAGCGGCGAACGGGUGAGUAACGUAUCGGAACGUACCUAUUUGUGGGGGAUAACGCAGCGAAAGUUGUGCUAAUACCGCAUAGGACCUGAGGGAGAAAGCAGGGGAUCCGAAAGGACCUUGCGCGAAUAGAGCGGCCGAUAUCUGAUUAGCUAGUUGGUAGGGUAAAGGCCUACCAAGGCGACGAUCAGUAGCUGGUCUGAGAGGACGACCAGCCACACUGGGACUGAGACACGGCCCAGACUCCUACGGGAGGCAGCAGUGGGGAAUUUUGGACAAUGGGGGCAACCCUGAUCCAGCCAUUCCGCGUGAGUGAAGAAGGCCUUCGGGUUGUAAAGCUCUUUCGGUGGGGACGAAAAGGCGGGCUCUAACAGAGUCUGUUCAUGGCGGUACCCGAAGAAGAAGCACCGGCUAACUACGUGCCAGCAGCCGCGGUAAUACGUAGGGUGCGAGCGUUAAUCGGAAUUACUGGGCGUAAAGGGUGCGCAGGUGGUUAUUUAAGACAGAUGUGAAAUCCCCGGGCUCAACCUGGGAACUGCGUUUGUGACUGAAUGGCUAGAGUG
rnacentral:rRNA from 1 species